rnacentral:rRNA from 1 species
UACAGAGGGUGCGAGCGUUAAUCGGAAUUACUGGGCGUAAAGCGCGCGUAGGCGGCUUUGCAAGCCGGAUGUGAAAUCCCCGGGCUUAACCUGGGAACUGCAUUCGGGACUGCAUGGCUAGAGUAUGGGAGAGGGAAGUGGAAUUUCAGGUGUAGCGGUGAAAUGCGUAGAUAUCUGAAGGAACAUCAGUGGCGAAAGCGACUUCCUGGACCAAUACUGACGCUUAUGUGCGAAAGCGUGGGGAGCAAACAGG